rnacentral:rRNA from 1 species
UAGGGAGGGUGCAAACGUUGCUCGGAAUCAUUGGGCGUAAAGCGCACGUAGGCGGUCCGGUAAGUCGGAUGUGAAAGCCCUCGGCUCAACCGAGGAAGUGCAUUCGAAACUGCCGGACUUGAGUACGGGAGAGGGAUGCGGAAUUCCCGGUGUAGAAGUGAAACUCGUAGAUAUAGGGAGGUACACCAGUGGCGAAGGCGGCAGCCUGGACCGAUACUGACGCUGAGGUGCCAAAGCGUCGGGAGCAAACAGG